UUUUUUAUUAAUAUUUUGUAUGCAUUUAUGGCUUUGAGCAAAGACAAAAGAAAAAAUAAAAUCCUCCCUGAUCACACAGUAACUGUAAGAAUCAGUUUAUCAUUUAGUUCAUUUUGUUUCCAGCAGCAUUAAGAUCCAGUCUUUACAAAACACAUUUCAUCCUGUACAGAUGUGAAAUUCUAUAUGUACAUACAUACAGAGGGAUAGAUAGAUAGAUCAGUUUGUCUUCAAAAGACUUUUAUAUUACAGGAAUGUGAACCAAAUAACCUAAGUCAUAUAUACAUUCAUCUAUAAAGAUUUGUACUGGUGUGUUUCUGUGUAUACAUGUGUCUGUGUAGUCAUUUAUAUAUUUAUAAUUAGAAAUAUAAACAGAGACAUAUAGAAUUGCAUUGCUUAUUUCUACUUUAUAUCUCUUGUAGGUUCACCGGGGUAAUCUGUUAUUAAUUUACAACUCUUUGUUCUUUAACUCUGGCCCUAAAAGAGUUAAAUGUAAUUUGUUUUUGUUUUUUACAUAUAUCAAUUUCAUAUGUACAGAAAUAUUUAUUUUGUAACUUUGGCUCUGUUUUGGUCCAGAUCUCCAAUAUUUAAAAAUGAAAAUAAUAUAGUACAGUAUAUCCCAUUAAAUGAAAUACCUUCUAACACUGAGAAGACUGUUUACUUGUUAAGUACCAGUGGUAGCUUAUAUUGUCCAAAAUCUAUGGUUUUUAGAGACCUUACUCUGACAUGGUUUAACCUCCUCGUCAUUUACCAUAGAGUUUAGGAUGGUGACCAAUUAUGAAGAUAAAUUGUUCCUUAGGAGCUUAAAUUCUAGACAGGAGCAGAUCCUCCUUGAUAAUGAGUUACCGUUUCUUUUUUUAUGUGAAAUAUUUACAUUAAACAAACCAUACAGCUUAAUAGCUUAAGUUGUCUGGUUAAUAAGUGUAAAUUGUAAAAAAAAAAAAAAAUGUAUAUAUACUUGCAUAUUUAUUUACUAAAGUGAAUUCUCACUUUCAUAAAUAAACCUGAUAUUAAAUGUGACUUAUUCCUAAAACAUCCCCACGAGCUACAUUUUCUCUGAAGACAAUAUUAUAGGGGUCCAGAAAGAAACUCAGUUUCUAAUUUGUGACCUUAUUAAGUUUCAGAAAGCAAAAUAUGACUGAAAACUUAAAAACCCUUAAUACUUUUUAGUUAACACAUGUGUAUAUUGAUUGUAUAUUGAUUGUUUGUCCUCGUGGGUUUUAAUGCAUUUGAAAUGCAAAUUUCACAUAUUGGUGCUAUUGUCAGAAGUGAUAUAAAUAUUCAUUGGAACUUUCUACAUAUAGCUUUCAUUUGGUAAUGCACAUGAAAUAAACAAAAUAAAUGGCAAUUUUAAUCAAAAAUGUAAGUUUGUGUUUAAAUGAAUGCAAGCAAAUUGCAAAUUUAUGUAAUUAUAUGUGCCUGCUUUUCACACUAAUAUAUUAUAGACAUUUAUACUUACAGAUGGCAUUAGUUUUUACACUUUUGCAAAAAUUUCUGUAGAUAUCAAAAUAUGAAAAAGACAAAAUACAAAUUAAGUCUGAUAUUAUGCAAUUAUCAUGAUACUUAAAGGGGCACCAAAACAUGAUAGUCACCAAAACAACUUUAACUUUGUGAAGAAGUUUGGCUAUAUAGAUCAUGCAUUUGAAGUCUCACUGCUCAAUACUCUGCCAUUUAUGAGUUAAAUCACUUUUGUUUCUGUCUAUGCAGACAUAGCCACACUUCCCCUGGCUAUGACUCUCACAACCUGCAUGAAAAACAAAAUGGUUUAAUUUUCAAUCAAAUGUUAACUUGCUUUAUCUCUUGCUCUGUAAAUUGAACUUUAAUCACACACUGGAGACUCCUGCAAAGUCUAGCAAGCUACUAACAGUGCAGGAAAUAGGAAAUUCCACAUUAAACAAACUGUGCAAUAAAGCGAGUAUAAACAUUAGAUAUCACUUUACAGGAAAUUAUUAGGAAGGCUGUGGAAGUCACAUGCAAGGAGGUGUGACUAGGGUGCAUAAACACAUAUCACAUAAAAAAUUAUUAUCCCCUCAGUCUGCCCUCCCAGAUCUCCCUCCCGCUCGUACGAGGGGGAGUGAUGUCAGUGAAGAAGGAUUGGGCUGAAGGAAGAACUUGUCCUCUGCGAUGGAAAGGAGGUAACUUUUAUUUAUUUAUUUAUUUUUUUGUUAGGAGGCAGACCAAGACUCCAACCAAAACCACUGGUUUAUGAAAACACUAGUUUUUUGGUUGGAGUAACCAUUUAACUUAUUGCACUUGCUAAAUGGAACCAAUGCAUUUUAGUGGACUGUGCUAUUUGUAGUAAGAUUUUUGAUUUUGAUAAAACCUUU
rnacentral:lncRNA from 1 species